rnacentral:lncRNA from 13 species
GAAAAACUGCUUAUUUGUGGGAGCUGCUGGAGAAGCUUACAUCUGAAGGAGCAACUGACAAAUUAUUGGGAUAAACGUAAUAGAAGCAAUUUCUUGGAAAGAAACUUCUGAAUACCAACUCUUUAGUACUAUGUCAACUUCCCCAAAGACACAAAUCCUGGAGGUGCUUAUUAAAACCACAGACUCGUAGGCCCUCCCUAAAGACCUUCUAAAUCACCAUUUCCAGGGAAGAGCUCUGAAACUUGAGAAUUUUUAGGCACUUCAGGUGAUUCUUAACAGAGAAGCAGGAUAAUGAUACAUUCUUUCAGUGAAGAGGCUCAGGCUCCUUUUCCAAUCACAGCAGCUGCUGGGGGUAGGAGGCUACCUUUCUUGCUCCUGCUGUCUACAGCCAGGCAAAAAGCCUCCACUUCUCCCUGCUGCUAUUGGUCACGUGGACCAGGAAAUGCUUGGAGGGGCUGGGAACGAGCUGUUGAUUGAGAGUGAGAGAGCCAAUGAGAAACCAGAGUAGUCGCUCACCCAGAGAGCUUUUUUUGGUGGGGGAUGGGGUUGGACUUAGCCUUCACUGUCUAUAAUACGGCAAAGGGUAGUGCAAGGUGCUUGCACUCAGCAGAGCCUGUGGCUGGUGGAAGCUGUGCCUGAAAAAGUUGGAAGUAAUGUGAGAUGGGUGGUACCAGUGCUGGAACUGGUGUGACAGCUGUGGCUGGAGUACAUGUGGGCUGAGAGGACCCAGGCAGGCCACCAGAGGUGUGACCUACAGUGCAGAAAGGGGUCUCCACUGGACAGGCCCCAUCAGAACCAGAUGGGGAGGGUCAUUCCUGCAGGUCAGCCUUCUGAGGCUAGAGAGCAAGGUACAGAAGAUGGAGAGGAGGCCUGGUGGUGCAAACAGAAGACAUACCUACCCAUGUCAAAAGCAAAAUCUCUGAUUACUUUCUUAGGAUUCAAGUGUUUCAUGGCUUGAUAUGGCUAGUAGAGACUGUUCCAAUCUACCAGACUUCAAGGGGGGAAACAAUCUCUUUGGCCUUUGGUUCCCUGAGGAGGGAACAAAGCUAUAAAAUGUGGUUCUCCUUCCUGGAGAGGUAAGUAGAAUUAGAAAAGUGUGCAAUCGUCUCACUAAUGAAACAGUUCGUCCUGAUUAACCUUGGCCCAAUUCUGUAUUACCUCAAGUCUAGAAUCCCUUAUGUGUAAUUCCAAAAUUCAACUACUUCUGUAGUAAACUGGAAAAUGUUUCCAUACUUCAUCUGUCAACAAAACAUGGCCAUGUGACAUGAACUGUUUAUAAUCAUUACCCUACUUUGUAUGAACAUUUUCCUUCAGAAAAAUUAUUUGGUUACUG